UACGGAGGAUGCAAGCGUUAUCCGGAAUUAUUGGGCGUAAAGCGUCCGUAGGUGGCUAAUCAAGUCUGCUGUCAAAGCGUGGAGCUUAACUCCAUACCGGCGGUGGAAACUGAUGAGCUAGAGUGCGAUAGGGGUAGCAGGAAUUCCCAGUGUAGCGGUGAAAUGCGUAGAGAUUGGGAAGAACACCAGCGGCGAAAGCGUGCUACUGGGUCUGCAUUGACACUGAGGGACGAAAGCUAGGGGAGCGAAAGGG
rnacentral:rRNA from 1 species